rnacentral:snRNA from 1 species
GUGCUUACUUGGGCAGCGCAUAUACUAAAAUUGGAACCAUACAGAGAAGAUUAGCAUGGCUCCUGCACAAGAAUGACAUGAAAAUUCAUGAAGCGUUCCAUAUUUAA